CCUACGGGUGGCAGCAGUGAGGAAUAUUGGUCAAUGGACGAGAGUCUGAACCAGCCAAGUAGCGUGAAGGAUGACUGCCCUAUGGGUUGUAAACUUCUUUUAUAUGGGAAUAAAACGUUCCACGUGUGGGAUUUUGUAUGUACCAUAUGAAUAAGGAUCGGCUAACUCCGUGCCAGCAGCCGCGGUAAUACGGAGGAUCCGAGCGUUAUCAGGAUUUAUUGGGUUUAAAGGGAGCGUAGGUGGAUUGUUAAGUCAGUUGUGAAAGUUUGCGGCGCAACCGUAAAAUUGCAGUUGAAACUGGCAGUCUUGAGUACAGUAGAGGUGGGCGGAAUUCGUGGUGUAGCGGUGAAAUGCUUAGAUAUCACGAAGAACUCCGAUUGCGAAGGCAGUUCACUGGACUGCAACUGACACUGAGGCUCGAAAGUGUGGGUAUCAAACAGGAUUAGAUACCCCAGUAGUC
rnacentral:rRNA from 1 species